AUCCGUUCACUUUUUUCGGCACCAUCGCCGACCGUCUCUCCUUCUCGACAGUUUCUCUUUCACCGACGGCCCGCCCCAACUCCACCUCAACCCAUCCGGUGUCGAGAGACGUCGUCUGGGAAGAGAAAUCGUCUUCCCAGACGAGACGAGACGACUCGUCUUCCGCAGAUCUUGCCCCUGCUACAACCCUAACAUGAUCCCCCUGUUUCCGUUGACAACUUCUCUUUCCCCAGCGGCCACACCUCCCGCGUUUUCUACAUUGCGGCUUUUACUUCGUUCUCCGCUGUUUCUACUGGAAAUAGUUGGUUUCCGUUUUGUGUUUGGACUUGGGCUCUGCUUACUUCGGUUUCUAUAGUUCUGCUUGGCAGACGUUUCGUCCUAGAUGUUCUUGCCGGAGCUUGUUUGGGCGUGCCAGAAGCCAUGCUUGUGUUUCGCUUUUUGAGUCAGCCAUCUCUAGGAUUGUCUGGUCUAGCUAACCAGGACAUUCAGCUUGAAGAUCAAACUACCAAGUACCAGAAGCUUGUGCCGACUUGUUAUGUGAAUAUCAUCCAUAAAUUGUUACCUCAUAAAAUUCUUGUCCAAGAUUUGGGCUCAGUUCAUUGUGGCCCAAACUACUGAACUCACUAGGCUAAAAAAUUACUGUGAACAUAAUUAUGGUUAUAUCCAUUUCUUCUUUGAAAGCCUUACUAUGCUGAUUGGCCUAUUGCUUUAGGGUGCUAUAUGUGAACAUUUUGAUUUGCACAGUUCAUUUAUGCAUUAAAUUUAAUAUUUUUGUAGUUGAAUCGAAAUGCUAGUUAACAUAGCAUUGCUCGAUUAGAUGGAUAAGGAUCAGACAUACUCCAAAAAAAAUUUGCUGACAUGUGAAAUUCGAAAUUCUCCCGUGGAGCUGUUGGGAGGAGUCUGUAGGAUCUCUCCUUUAUUGAGCAAGGACAUUUUUCAUGCUGAAUACUGGCUUAACUGUGGUCAGAUUAUGAUGGAAGAUAGGUGUAUAUGCCAUGUGCAUAUCAUCAAUUGUUUUUUAAGACUCUGGGACUCCUGUGGAACGCAUUAAAUCUUAUAAAGCAUAAAGUGGCAGCAUUCUGCAGGCCUCCUCUAUGCACUUGAAGGCCUGACAAUCUGCUACUGAGAUGGGAUUUCGACACAUUAUCAAAGGUUGUGAUUGGCUGCGAUUUGCUGAAAGCAAAAGUUAAUAAUGGAAGGGUAAAGAUAUUAUUGAACUUUGAACAAUAAUUUUUAUGGAAAGUAGAUCUUAAUAAAUUUAAUGGACUACUGGGGAAUAUCCUUUUUGUGAUACCUCUUUCUUUCACAGAAAUCUCACAUGCCAAUCUCUAUACCGCCAAUGCUUUUUAGUGGAAUUUCUGCUUGUCCAGAAGUUAAAAAAUGAGAAGUAGUUGGCUCAAUCAUUCAUUAAACAUUUGCUUUAUUCUUGAUGAGCCAUUUCUGAUAAGGUGGUUUAAAUUGACGACGUGAUUGAUCGUGGCAUAGGAAAUUUGCUAGAUCAGCACUGACAGUGAUUGGCAUAAGUUGCUCUUGCUAGUUGAAUCACUCUUGUUGUAAGGUUCUAUAACUCUUCCAAUCUACCAAUGGUGUGAAGAAGAUUGGAAGAUUAGUGUACCAAAACGAUGCUUUUGCAAAGAUGAUCGACGGAAGCCGCACCAAGAAUAUCUCUCCGAGAUUCGAGAGGCCAGUCGUAGUAAUCGGCUGGGACUUUCUUGAAUAAAAACUUGUUCACACCAUUCGAUCGAAGAAUGUUCUCGAGUCGAGCUUCAGUGUCGCAGACUGAAAUUGGCUCAUGAUUUGGUGCAGAGACGUCGUGGUUUUGGGGAAGGUAAGUGUUCUCCAGGUUUGACUGUCGUUCCAGGAUUUGAGUUUGGACUCGCUCUAGCUCCGCCAGCUUUGCCUCCAUUGUGCUACCUCUUCUUCCCAGUUUGACCUGAGCGGUCUAAUCUGGAACGUUCAUCUUCAUUUAGUCCCUUCAAUGUUGGCGGGCUAGUGGGCUGAUUGGUUCCUUCUCGGUUGAACCAGACUUUAUGGGCCUCCACUCUGCGUCUAUAAAAAAUUAGGACGGUUUGUUUUCUUAUCUUUUUUUUUUU